UACGUAGGCAGCAAGCGUUGUUCGGAAUCACUGGGCGUAAAGGGCGCGUAGGCGGCCUUGCAAGUCGGUUGGUGAAAGCCCGGAGCUCAACUCCGGGUCGGCCGUCGAUACUCUCGUGCUUGAGCACUGUAGAGGCAGGUGGAAUUCCGGGUGUAGCGGUGGAAUGCGUAGAGAUCCGGAAGAACACCGGUGGCGAAGGCGGCCUGCUGGGCAGUAGCUGACGCUGAUGCGCGACAGCGUGGGGAGCAAACAGG
rnacentral:rRNA from 1 species